rnacentral:rRNA from 1 species
UUUGAUCCUGGCUCAGGAUGAACGCUGGCGGCGUGCCUAACACAUGCAAGUCGAACGGUCUUCCGGAAAUCUUCGGUUGGGUGGAAGAUAGUGGCGAACGGGUGAGUAACACGUUGGUGACCUGCCCCUGAGAGGGGGAUAACUCCGCGAAAGCGGAGCUAAUACCCCGGAGGGUCUGGACGAUUAGAUUGUUCAGACUAAAGCUCUGAGGCCGUUCAGGGAGGGGCCUGCGGGCUAUCAGCUAGUUGGUGAGGUAACGGCUCACCAAGGCGCAGAUGGCUAGGGGGCGUGAGAGCGUGACCCCCCACAAGGGAACUGAGAAACGGUCCCUACUCCUACGGGAGGCAGCAGUGAGGAAUAUUGAGCAAUGGGCGCAAGCCUGACUCAGCAACGCCGCGUGGACGAUGACGGCCUUCGGGUUGUAAAGUCCUGUUUCAGGGACGACUGAUGAGUGACGGUACUUGAGGAAGAAGUCCCGGCUAACUACGUGCCAGCAGCCGCGGUAAAACGUAGGGGGCGAGCGUUAUCCGGAUUUACUGGGCGUAAAGCGCAUGUAGGCGGUCGGAUAAGUUAGACGUGAAAGCUCCCGGCUUAACUGGGAGAGUGCGUUUGAAACUGUCCGACUGGAGGUUGGGAGAGGAGAGUGGAAUUCCCGGUGUAGUGGUGGAAUGCGUAGAUAUCGGGAGGAACACCAGUGGCGAAAGCGGCUCUCUGGACCAAACCUGACGCUGAGAUGCGAAAGCGUGGGGAGCAAACGGGAUUAGAUACCCCGGUAGUCCACGCUGUAAACGAUGGAGACUAGGUGUCGGCGGCAUUUACCCCGUCGGUGCCGCA